rnacentral:lncRNA from 1 species
GUUAAAGCCUGUAAGACAGAUAGGUGUUAAAGACCUUGCCUCUGAAAGUCUCAGUGACCUUAAAGAAGUGCAAAGCCAAGGACGAGGCGUUGUCAUGAGAAGAACGACAUCCAGGAAAGUCCGUUCAGGAGGCCAGCCCGGUCUCGUGCAUCCAAAGAGCAGCCAGAUACUUAGCUGCCCAUCCAAAACAAUAAAAUCACUUCUAAACUACAAAACCAAAGGUUUUGCAGACAAAGAUGGGGUACUAAGCCAGUCUUGCCCUGGACAGCUGCAGAUUGCAACCGUAGUGGAGCUGCAAGAUGAGAGUGGCUUGAAGCUGAUGAACAGGCAGCCAGGCUUGUCUCAUGCCAAACCAAAAUCGUCCCGUCCCUUGUUAGUGCAAAAGGCUCCAGUAAUGGUGAAUUUGAAAGAAGAAAGCACACAAAGAAUCAGAAACAGUCAGUAUCUGAAGAAACCAACUAAAAUUAAAAUCAGACCAGACAGCAUGCCCUUGUGCCUCUUUUCGAAACUGGAAGAACCUGACUACUCAGGUCUGUUUGCAUUGCCUGCUGAGUUUCUGCAGUGCUGCACACACGGAUGCCCUGGGCAGCCCUCGGCCCAACUGGGUCUGUCACCCAGAGCAUUUGCAGAGGCCAUGCAUCAUGGAGGGGAGAGCCCCGUGGAGCUUUGGAGAAAGAGGUCUUCUGGGAAGUCUGCGCCGGGCAAGAGCAGCAUGGCAAAUCUGGUGCCCCAGGGUGUUGAAGAGCACAGGCAACCUUUGACAAGAAAAGGGAGCCAAGACUAUGUAUAUUCCAGCGGCGCUGUGAGCCGGGAGGACGGUACAUGGGCACUGUGCCACAUCCAGGGAUUCCAGUCCCCAGGCAGAGCGUUUCCGCUAUCCAAAGAGGAAUUUGAAGAUGACCCUUCCUACAAACUGCCGCCGCCUCCGCCUCCUUCUCCGUGCCUACAGGAGGACUAUAAUGAGAUUUCUUCAGGGGGAAACCCCUGCCUUUGAAGGACACAGCAAUCAAGACAGUCUUCUCCAUUAACCCUUCAUCAAACAAUGGCUGAGGGAACCUGUCCUGACACUGGCCUGCUCCUGUCUCAGCUCCUGUCUCGCCUUGUGUUUAGGCCCCUUCCACUGUGUUUCCCUUGCCACAGGGCAGGUGACGGAAGUGGCCCGGCAGUUUCUGCAGUCUGUAAACAUUUGGGACAGGUACAAAUCUCUGAGUUCUGAAAAUUAAAGAAGAGCUUCUCACCCCCUCUCCUGUUUCUGUGCUGCGCGUUGGCUUCCAAAGAGGAGCUAGUCUGUUGAGCAGCUCGAAUACGCGCCAUGGCCUGGCUGUAGCUGCCUUAAUAUCCUGUGUCAAGAAAAUCGCAUUUACCCACCCGCUCCAUAGGGCAGACUGGCACAGUAGG